rnacentral:rRNA from 1 species
UCGGACGGUAGCACAGAGGAGCUUGCUCCUUGGGUGACGAGUGGCGGACGGGUGAGUAAUGUCUGGGGAUCUGCCCGAUAGAGGGGGAUAACCACUGGAAACGGUGGCUAAUACCGCAUAACGUCGCAAGACCAAAGAGGGGGACCUUCGGGCCUCUCACUAUCGGAUGAACCCAGAUGGGAUUAGCUAGUAGGCGGGGUAAUGGCCCACCUAGGCGACGAUCCCUAGCUGGUCUGAGAGGAUGACCAGCCACACUGGAACUGAGACACGGUCCAGACUCCUACGGGAGGCAGCAGUGGGGAAUAUUGCACAAUGGGCGCAAGCCUGAUGCAGCCAUGCCGCGUGUAUGAAGAAGGCCUUCGGGUUGUAAAGUACUUUCAGCGGGGAGGAAGGCGAUGUGGUUAAUAACCGCGUCGAUUGACGUUACCCGCAGAAGAAGCACCGGCUAACUCCGUGCCAGCAGCCGCGGUAAUACGGAGGGUGCAAGCGUUAAUCGGAAUUACUGGGCGUAAAGCGCACGCAGGCGGUCUGUUAAGUCAGAUGUGAAAUCCCCGGGCUUAACCUGGGAACUGCAUUUGAAACUGGCAGGCUUGAG